AUUUGAAGAAAUUCGAAUAUAUAUAUAUAUAUAUAUAUAUAUAUAUAUAUAUAUAUAUAUAUAUAUAUAUAUAUAAAAUAAACACCCACUCACUUUCAACUGAAAAAAUAAAUGCUAAAAUGAUUUUUUUUUUUUUUUUAGAUAUUCCAACCCCCAGCACCGCGUAUAAAGUUAAAUGUUUACAAAUAGGCUAUAUUGAUUACAGAAAUGUUAACAAUGUCUAGACCUUGAAUGUUGGUUUUAAAACCAGUUUUACCCUUUCAUCAGACUUUUCUGCUAUAGUUUAGAGCCAGGAGACCUUCAAAUUCCAGUCUAUUUUAAGAUUUGACCCGACGGUUGGUGUCACGCAUUGCUCAUAUUCACCUACUGCCAACUACAUCAAGGCUUCACGUAACAACGGAAAUGUUUCUAAUAUAUAUUUUUAUCCAUUGAAUCAAACACAAAGACUUGAGCGUGAUGAUCAAUACAGAAACACGGGUAACAGAGUAACUGUCUGCUUUUUGUCUGCUUCGGUUGAGAAAAACAACACGAGAAGCGUCACAUUUUCACCUUCAUGCACAGGCUGUUCCUGGCGCUUUUCUACUUACCUAAUCCAGCUGUUAGCGAUUUCGGUUGCUAUCCGCCUCGGCUCAUGUCAGCGCCAUGACGCCGCAUCAUCAGAGAUCCUCAUUGGACACUUGAGCAGAAGUUACAUGGUGACGUGAUCUCAAGUUUGACUGUCCAAACUGUUGAACUGACGCCGCACACGGAUGCAUCUAUUACUUCAGAAUUACACUGAGAGCACUGAAGAAAUGCUAUAUAUAUAUAUAUAUAUAUAUAUAUAUAUAUAUAUAUAUAUAUAUAUAUAUAUAUAUAUAUAUAUAUAUAUAUAUAUAUAUAUAUUAGUUGUAGUAUUUCAGUUGCAUGUUGUUGGCAUAAGAUUUUUAUAUUUAGCUUGAAUCUAUGUAUGAAUGCUGCAGAUUCCCAUUCUAUGUCACAACAUGCCCCUCUAUUAAUUCAAUAAACUGUACAUAUUUAUUUAUUUUUCUAGGAAAUAAUAGUGGAAAUAUUCUGUAGACAGGAUUUCAUAAGUAACACCACUCUGAAAAUAUUUACUGGAAUAUAAAUAGUGAGAUUUAGCCUUGGCCUUUCAUUGCUAAAUACACACACACAACUAUGUUUCAAAUCUGUAAUCAGAUUGAACAGUUUUGUAUUUUAAUGUUUGCUCUUAAUUGUUUUGGCUUCAGAGGAAAGGGAUUAUUUCGCGCUCUGCUUGAUUUGGAUUUAAGAUGUGAGGCCCCCUGGUGCUGUAAACUAAUCUUUCUGCCAAGACUAAGUCUGUGCAUGCAAUCAGAGGUAAUUAUUUGAGUGAAUGAAUGGUUACAUGGAAAAACAGCAAUGUUGUCUUUUUAAAAAGUAAAUUUCAGAUAAGAUUUUAAACAUGAUAAAUAAAGCUGUCGGAUUCGGUUGUCGGUUCUAAAUCUGGAUUUAGUGUUUGUGCUUUAAGUGUGAAAUGAGAUAUAAUUUUUGACAUUUAAAUUGAAUUACAAGAGAUCCAAUAAAUAAAUCUAAUCCUGAAGCAGUUUUGUGCCAUAAAUGCAAAUGACUAUAAAUUUAAUCAAAUUGCUGUUAAAUAUGAACAUUCUAAGAAUAUCCAUGUUUUUUUCUCAAUGUAUUUGUUAGAAUGCAUUACAUUACACAUUACAUUUCUUCACAGUUAUUUAAAAAACAAGCAGUCCAACAUUCCCAUGAACUGUGUGGCUAUCAUCAACUUUCACUGGCCCAGAAAAUGCUGACAUUCCC
ensembl:lncRNA